GGCCCCGCCUGCCCGGUGACCUAAUGUUUAACGGCCGCGGUAUCCUGACCGUGCGAAGGUAGCGCAAUAACUUGUCUUUUAAAUGGGGACUAGUAUGAAUGGCACCACGAGGGCUUAUCUGUCUCCUCUUUCAAGUCAAUGAAAUUGAUCUUCCCGUGCAAAAGCGGGAAUAAGCACAUAAGACGAGAAGACCCUGUGGAGCUUUAGACACCAAGACAGCUCGCGUUAAGAAUACCCUAAUAAAGGUUUGAACUAAAAAAGACCUGCCCUAAUGUCUUUGGUUGGGGCGACCGCGGAGUAAAAGAAAACCUCCCUCUGCAUGGAAUAAGGGUAAAAUUCAUUCCCUUUAAACCAAGAGCGACAGCUCGAACUAACAGAAUUUUCUGACCUUAAGAUCCGGCUCACUGCCGAUCAACGAAUCAAGUUACCCCAGGGAUAACAGCGCAAUCCCCUUUUAGAGCCCAUAUCGACAAGGGGGUUUACGACCUCGAUGUUGGAUCAGGACAUCCUAAUGGUGCAGCCGCUAUUAAGGGUUCGUUUGUUCAACGAUUAAAGUCCUACGUGAUC
rnacentral:rRNA from 1 species